CAGCCGCCGCGGUAAUACGUAGGGUGCAAGCGUUAAUCGGAAUUACUGGGCGUAAAGCGUGCGCAGGCGGCCAUGCAAGACAGGUGUGAAAGCCCCCGGCUCAACCGGGGAGGGUCAUUGGAAACUGGGAAACUUGAGUGCAGAAGAGGAGAGUGGAAUUCCACGUGUAGCGGUGAAAUGCGUAGAGAUGUGGAGGAAUACCGAUGGCGAAGGCAGCCCCCUGGGCCAAUACUGACGCUCAUGCACGAAAGCGUGGGGAGCAAACAGGAUUAGAUACCCCUGUAGUCCCUGUCUCUUAUAA
rnacentral:rRNA from 1 species